CCUGAGCUGAGAGUUGCACCAAGAUCUACAAAGGAGGGCAGUUCCCAAAAUGGUACACUAACAACCAGAGGGAAAGGAUGCUAGCUUGAGAAAGAGUUAAGGAGGAGUGUUCCAGCAUGUGUUCCAGGGAGGAAGGCCAUGCAUUUCCAUGGAUCCUGGUACUCAUUUCCAAGGAGAUGAUAUUUCAAAACAAUAGCUAUUUUGGAUAAGAAGUAAAGGAGACCUCUACUUCAACCACUCUCUCUGGCUGGACUCAUCUGGAACAAGAAUCAGAUGAAUGAGAUCCUGAAAGAUCUAUGAGGAUGACACGAGGACCAAUAAGCA
rnacentral:lncRNA from 1 species